rnacentral:rRNA from 1 species
CCAGCAGCCGCGGUAAUUCCAGCUCCAAUAGCGUAUAUUAAAGUUGUUGCAGUUAAAACGCUCGUAGUCUGAUGUAAUGGGGACUGGUGUGGGGAGCAGCAAUGCUCUUCGCAUCGGUCCUCAUCAACGGGACAGCAAUGUCCCAUUUUACUUUGAGGAAAUUAGAGUGUUUCAAGCAGGCUAUUGCAGGAAUACAUUAGCAUGGAAUAACGAAUGUGUCUAGAAUCUUGGUUAAUUCUAGAAUACGAUUAAUAGGGACAGUUGGGGGGCAUUAGUAUUUAAUUGUCAGAGGUGAAAUUCUUGGAUUUUUUAAAGACUAACGUAUGCGAAAGCAUUUGCCAAGGAUGUUUUCAUUAAUCAAGAACGAAAGU